rfam:Bacillus sp. SGD-V-76 genomic scaffold Scaffold36, whole genome shotgun sequence.
AGAGUCCUGAUAUGUUCGUCUUUACAACAGUUUUGACCGAACAAUUUGUUGCUUGGGAACUCGGAGUUUUUAUACAGCGUACAUGCCUUCUCUAAGGACUUACAGUGUGUAAAACAGAGUACCCACCUGCCGAGAGCGGGUUCAAAACGAAAGCAUUAAGACGGCAUUAUUGGGACUAGC